CCUACGGGAGGCAGCAGUGAGGAAUAUUGGUCAAUGGCCGGAAGGCUGAACCAGCCAUGCCGCGUGAAGGUCAGUGCCCUAUGGGCGUUAAACUUCUUUUGUGCGGGAGCAAUAAUGGUCACGUGUGGCCAGACGAGAGUACCGUACGAAUAAGCAUCGGCUAACUCCGUGCCAGCAGCCGCGGUAAUACGGGGGAUGCAAGCGUUAUCCGGAUUUAUGGGGUUUAAAGGGGGCGUAGGCUGUGAGGUAGGUCAGCGGUGAAAUGCCCCCGCUCAACGGGGUGAAGUGCCAUUGAUACUGCUUUGCUGGAAUGCGGAUGCGGUGGGAGGAAGGUGUGGUGUAGCGGUGAAAUGCAUAGAUAUCACACAGAACACCGAUUGGGAAGGCAUCUCACGAAUCCGCGAUUGACGCGGAUGCACGAAAGCGUGGGUAUCAAACAGGAUUAGAUACCCGAGUAGUC
rnacentral:rRNA from 1 species